UGAGGAAUAUUGGUCAAUGGGCGAGAGCCUGAACCAGCCAAAUCGCGUGAAGGAAGACUGCCUUAUGGGUUGUAAACUUCUUUUAUACAGGAAUAAAAAAGGGGACGUGUCCCUUAUUGCAUGUACUGUAUGAAUAAGCAUCGGCUAACUCCGUGCCAGCAGCCGCGGUAAUACGGAGGAUGCGAGCGUUAUCCGGAUUUAUUGGGUUUAAAGGGUGCGCAGGCGGGCUUUUAAGUCAGCGGUGAAAUCUCGGGCUUAACUCCGAAACUGCCGUUGAAACUGGGAGUCUUGAGUAUGGAUGAAGUAGGCGGAAUUCGUUGUGUAGCGGUGACAUGCUUAGAUAUAACGAGGAACUCCGAUUGCGUAGGCAGCUUACUAAGCCAUAACUGACGCUCAAGCACGAAAGCGUGGGGAUCAAAACAGGAUUAGAUACCCUGGUAGUCCACGCCGUAAAACGAUGAUUACUAGUUGUAUGCGAUAUACCGUAUGUGACUAAGCGAAAGCGAUAAGUAAUCCACCUGGGGAGUACGCCGGCAACGGUGAAACUUAAAUGAUUGACGGGGUCAUAGCUG
rnacentral:rRNA from 1 species